rnacentral:lncRNA from 1 species
AUGAGGUUGGUGGCCACCUCCCACAAAGCUCUUCUCUUCCGGUAAUCUGUACUAGCAUAUGUAGCCAAAAGGACCCAAGGGGGUCCAGCCCCUCUGAAAUCACUAGAAUCACUUGCUAGCUACAUUUGUGGAAGACAUCAAUGCCAUUUCCCCCUAAUCUCCAUAACACAAUGACACCCCUUGAGAUGCCCCUAGACUACACUGCAUAUGUCCCCCAGGAUCUCGGGAUAACACGCCUGACCCGCUCCAAGUUAGCUCCCGACAAUAGGGUCUCAAAUAGAACACAAACAUCAGGGUCAUAUAGACUCACCAAUCUACAAAAAGUCGGCCGGAAGAAGAGCUUUUCUGCUCUCGGCAAUUCUACAAGAGAAUCUUCAUAACAAUCCUUGGGUAUUCCCAUGUCUGGCCGCACCAAGACCCCUCCCGCCUCA